rnacentral:rRNA from 1 species
UACGGAGGGUGCAAGCGUUAUCCGGAUUUACUGGGUUUAAAGGGUGUGUAGGCGGACUUUUAAGUCCGUGGUGAAAUCUCCGGGCUCAACCCGGAAACUGCCAUGGAUACUAUUUGUCUUGAAUAUUGUUGAGGUGGGCGGAACGGGUCAUGUAGCGGUGAAAUGCUUAGAUAUGACAUAGAACACCAAUUGCGAAGGCAGCUCACUACACAAAGAUUGACACUGAGGCACGAAAGCGUGGGGAUCAAACAGG